rnacentral:rRNA from 1 species
AGUGAACGCUGGCGGUAGGCCUAACACAUGCAAGUCGAACGGCAGCACAGUAAGAGCUUGCUCUUACGGGUGGCGAGUGGCGGACGGGUGAGGAAUACAUCGGAAUCUACUUUUUCGUGGGGGAUAACGUAGGGAAACUUACGCUAAUACCGCAUACGACCUACGGGUGAAAGCAGGGGAUCUUCGGACCUUGCGCGAUUGAAUGAGCCGAUGUCGGAUUAGCUAGUUGGCGGGGUAAAGGCCCACCAAGGCGACGAUCCGUAGCUGGUCUGAGAGGAUGAUCAGCCACCCUGGAACGGAGACACGGUCCAGACUCCUACGGGAGGAAGCAGUGGGGAAUAUUGGACAAUGGGCGCAAGCCUGAUCCAGCCAUACCGCGUGGGUGAAGAAGGCCUUCGGGUUGUAAAGCCCUUUUGUUGGGAAAGAAAAGCAGCAGGUUAAUACCCCGCUGUUCUGACGGUACCCAAAGAAUAAGCACCGGCUAACUUCGUG